AUGACCAUAACUCAUGGACGGCCAGACCCCAUAUUCUCUCCCUUCUCUCUCCUUUGGGGCCCUUUUUUUCUUUCCAAUAAAACUAAAUGAUUAUUUUCAUCAUCAUGUUUGUUGUUUUGUCCAUGGUAUUUAGCACAAAACCCUUAUUCAUUCCCUUCUGUUUCGUCCCUUUAUAGCUACAUUUCUUGAGAACUUUGUUCAUCAUCAAGAAAAGAGAAAAGCUUGCCAAGAAUUUAGAGAAGAUGGUAGCUAGCUAGGAAGCUUAACUUUUGUGGUGAAUGUUGUCUGGUUCAAGGCAUGGCCACCACAUCUCUUGGUGAAUAUAUGUCCUCGGACCAGGCUUCAUUCCCCUCAAUUAAUGCUUCCAUACAUGCAUGAGUUCUUCAGCUAUAUAUAUAUUGCUUGAUUGAUCAUCAUCAAUUUCAAGAUAUGGAGGUGAUGUCUAGUGUUUUCUUUUUCCUUUUAUUUGAUUUUGGUAAUUUAUCUGGUUUUCUCUAAUCGGAUUCAAUGUUUUAGUAAAUUUCACAUAGAUCAAGGUUGUUGACUAACUAGUAUCAGAUUGGUGUAAUGAUGAUCCAUUUUGACUGUCUUGAGAUCACAUGGGUAGACACAUAAAUUUCUAUCAUUACUUCUUGUUAUAAGUAUGAAAGAUCCAAAUUACUAUUCAAUUAUUACUUAUGUUUUUCAACUUAGGUUAUCAUGGGGCUAUGAGAUUUUGUCAGUUCUCCUCUUUUUCUCCCUUUUCCAAUUAACCUUUUUGUGUUUUAUCAUCAUUGGAUACAUGGAUUUUCACAUGUUCAAAUGUUGUUUCAAAGGAAAUGGGUGUGUGUCUGCAACUCUCUUCUCGAGCAGUAGCUAGGAGAGGUUCUAAAAGAAACGAUAAAAGAAAUUUUGUCAAAAACUUAGCCUGCAGAACUUGAAAGAACAAAACCCUUUUGAAGACCAAGGCAUGCAUUCUCUUUUUUUAUAUGUUAUUUCUUGAUGGGGGUAACUGGAUCUGCAGAGUUAUGUAGAUAGAUUAUAGAUAUAUCGCUGCUCUCUAAUUACCUUUACCAAUGUUUAAUUUCCAGUUCAUUAUAUAUUUAUUCUAAACUCAACAUCGUAGAAUAUAUCCAUUGACAUUUUAGUGGAAGACAAGCUAGCAGCUGCACUGAAGAUUUGAAGCUGAGUAUAGCAUGCAGUGGAUAUAUUCUCUAGUAUUUGAUUCCCAUGGCCACACUUUCUUUACUAAAAGAGAGGUAUCUUUCUACUUCUAUCUUUUCACAUCCUUUCUUCUUGUUGACGCAAUCAAAUUACUUGAUUAUCUUCUACGCAUUUUAUUCCCUUUCCAGAUCAUAGAUUUAAACCAUGUUUACGGCUAAAAUCUUGAUUGAUGUGUUCAAGUUGGUUUUAUCCUUUGGAAAAACACAUGACUUGAACUACAAAUGGCAUGGUACACCUUUCAAAUCCCUACGAAGGCAGCAUGAAGAAGCUCUGUAGCAAAUCUUGUUUAAUUGUGUUUUGUUUCUUGUGAAAUAGACAAAUGAGAAAGCACUGGGAUCUAACUCUAGAAUAUAAUGAUGUCUACACAUUAUCGUGGAAGAUUUUGAUAUCUUUGAUCAUCAGUUACAACUAGAGUUAUUGAUUUGUUCUGUGCAACUCUAGGGUGAAAACAGUUGCAUGGAAAAGGAAAGGUAGUCAUGGAAAUUCAAGCCAUGUCAUGC